CAGUCGCCGCGGUAAUACGAGGGUGGCUAGCGUUGUUCGGAAUUACUGGGCGUAAAGCGCACGUAGGCGGAUAUUUAAGUCAGGGGUGAAAUCCCGCAGCUCAACUGCGGAACUGCCUUUGAUACUGGGUAUCUUGAGUAUGGAAGAGGUAAGUGGAAUUGCGAGUGUAGAGGUGAAAUUCGUAGAUAUUCGGAGGAACGCCAGUGGCGAAGGCGGCUCACUGGUCCAUUACUGACGCUGAGGUGCGAAAGCGUGGGGAGCAAACAGGAUUAGAUACCCGUGUAGUCCCUGUCUCUUAUAA
rnacentral:rRNA from 1 species